rnacentral:misc_RNA from 1 species
GAUGAAGAACGCAGCGAAAUGCGAUAAGUAAUGUGAAUUGCAGAAUUCAGUGAAUCAUCGAAUCAUUGAACGCACAUUGCGCCCGCCAGUAUUCUGGCGGGCAUGCCUGUUCGAGCGUCAUUUCAACCAUCAAGCCCCCGGCUUGUGUUGGGGACCUGCGGCUGCCGCAGGCCCUGAAAACCAGUGGCGGGCUCGCUAGUCACUCCGAGCGUAGUAAUACAUCUCGCUCAGGGCGUGCUGCGGGUUCCGGCCGUUAAAAAGCCUUAUUUACCCAAGGUUGACCUCGGAUCAGGUAGGAAGACCCGCUGAACUUAAGCAUAUCAAUAAGCGGAGGA